UUAGUAGCGGCGAGUGAAGCGGCAAAAGCUCAAAUUUGAAAUCUGGCUCUUUCAGAGUCCGAGUUGUAAUUUGAAGAAGGUAUCUUUGGGUCUGGCUCUUGUCUAUGUUUCUUGGAACAGAACGUCACAGAGGGUGAGAAUCCCGUGCGAUGAGAUGAUCCAGGCCUAUGUAAAGUUCCUUCGAAGAGUCGAGUUGUUUGGGAAUGCAGCUCUAAGUGGGUGGUAAAUUCCAUCUAAAGCUAAAUAUUGGCGAGAGACCGAUAGCGAACAAGUACAGUGAUGGAAAGAUGAAAAGAACUUUGAAAAGAGAGUGAAAAAGUACGUGAAAUUGUUGAAAGGGAAGGGCUUGAGAUCAGACUUGGUAUUUUGUAUGUUACUUCUUCGGGGGUGGCCUCUACAGUUUAUCGGGCCAGCAUCAGUUUGGGCGGUAGGAGAAUUGCGUUGGAAUGUGGCACGGCUUCGGUUGUGUGUUAUAGCCUUCGUCGAUACUGCCAGCCUAGACUGAGGACUGCGGUUUAUACCUAGGAUGUUGGCAUAAUGAUCUUAAGUCGCCCGUCUUGAAACACGGACCAAGGAGUCUAACGUCUAUGCGAGUGUUUGGGUGUAAAACCCGUACGCGUAAUGAAAGUGAACGUAGGUGGGGGCCCGUAUGGGUGCACCAUCGACCGAUCCUGAUGUCUUCGGAUGGAUUUGAGUAAGAGCAUAGCUGUUGGGACCCGAAAGAUGGUGAACUAUGCCUGAAUAGGGUGAAGCCAGAGGAAACUCUGGUGGAGGCUCGUAGCGGUUCUGACGUGCAAAUCGAUCGUCGAAUUUGGGUAUA
rnacentral:rRNA from 1 species